rnacentral:rRNA from 1 species
UAAGUGCUGAAAGCAUCUAAGCAUGAAGCCCCCCUCAAGAUGAGAUUUCCCAACUUCGGUUAUAAGAUCCCUCAAAGAUGAUGAGGUUAAUAGGUUCGAGGUGGAAGCAUGGUGACAUGUGGAGCUGACGAAUACUAAUCGAUCGAAGACUUAAUCAAAA